rnacentral:rRNA from 1 species
AUGCCAAUUUAUUUGUGCAAGGAAAUGGAAUGCUUAAUCUCUUUUGCCAAACAAAAUUCAGUUAUCCUUAUCAAGUCUGAAAAUGUACAAGUAGCAAGUGGAAUGCUACAGAGACAUGGCCUAAUUCAGUUAACAAGUUUGAAAACUAGAUUCAGUUAUCAGCUAAUCGGCCUGCAGCGGUGCGGAAACGACGGCGUGGUUCAGCCGACCACCACCAUGGAGAUGGGUGUGCAGGUGCUCGACAUGAGGUUGCUGCGUGCGUACGCCGAGCUGUCCACCACGGGCGGUGACUCGAGGAGGCCGACCAACUGGACGCCCUUAGACCCGCAUGAAGGACGGGAGCCCAUGUAG